UUUUUAAUGAGAGUUUGAUCCUGGCUCAGAACGAACGCUGGCGGCGUGCCUAACACAUGCAAGUCGAACGGAGUCAUUUUGAAGUAGCAAUACGGAAGAAUGACUUAGUGGCGCACGGGUGAGUAACACGUAGGUAACCUGCCCUUAAGAGGGGGAAAACCCGCCGAAAGGCGAGCUAAUACCGCAUAAGACCACGAACUGAGAUGUUUGUGGUAAAAGGAGCAAUCCACUUAAGGAUGGGCCUGCGGCCUAUCAGGUAGUUGGUGAGGUAACGGCUCACCAAGCCUAAGACGGGUAGCCGGUCUGAGAGGACGGACGGCCACACUGGAACUGAGACACGGUCCAGACUCCUACGGGAGGCAGCAGUGGGGAAUUUUGCACAAUGGGCGAAAGCCUGAUGCAGCGACGCCGCGUGGAGGAUGAAGGUUUUCGGAUUGUAAACUCCUUUUGUAGGGGAAAAUAAUGAUGGUACCCUGCGAAUAAGCCACGGCUAACUCUGUGCCAGCAGCCGCGGUAAGACAGAGGUGGCGAGCGUUGUUCGGAAUUACUGGGCUUAAAGGGCGCGUAGGCGGUAAGAUAAGUCUGUGGUGAAAUCCUAUGGCUUAACCAUAGAAUUGCCAUGGAAACUGUUUUACUUGAGUCAGCGAGGGGAUGGUGGAAUUCCUGGUGUAGCAGUGAAAUGCGUAGAUAUCCGGAGGAAGGCCGGUGGCGAAGGCGGCCAUCUGGCGCUGAACUGACGCUGAGGCGCGAAAGCGUGGGUAGCAAACAGGA
rnacentral:rRNA from 1 species